GAUGGUCCGGGCGGAAUUAUUGCUCGAUUUGACACCAGGCCCGACGAAUGGGACGUCGUGUACCAGUGGUACCGUGAAAAGUGGACCCGCCAGCCGCCACCUGGGGAGGCCGACCACCGUGUCCUCCGGUGGGAGAUCCGGAUAUGUGUGGGACGGCUAGCCCAAGGUCUGAUCCCACAGACACCAGGCCCGACGAAUGGGACGUCGUUAAUUCGGCCAGCUGCAAUCCCCCACCCCUUGCCAAAGGCCGACCCGGUCGCCCGGUACCAGUGGUACCGGGAAAUAUGGAGGCGGCAGCUCCCACCCGGGGGAGGCGGACCGCCGUGUCCUUGGGUGGCAUAUCCGGGACCAAUUGGCCCGGGGUAUAGUCCCAUAAGGAUUUCUCCAGAAAACGGCAAGAAAAAACCCGCCAAAGUAAGUACCCAUGCAGUAGUAGCACCCAGAUUUUCAGUAUAAUGGUAUUUUGCAUUGCAUUGCUGUUCUGAUGCAGUUUUCUGUCUUCAUUUAUGUUGGAAGUGAUAAGUAGAGCCGUACGGCAAGCCCAAGGUCUGAUCCCAAUAAGUAUUUCCCCGGGUUUUUUAGUUUCCACCAGAUAAUUUUGUUACACGUUUACAGAACCUUGUUCUAUAUUAAUAUAAUCAUAAUAUAAUAUGAGUACAUGGGAAUACUAACUAUUAACUGUUCACUGUCUUUAUUAUAGACAGUGUACAGCUGGUAUUGUAUAUUUACUGUGAACAUGUUAAAAUAGUAAAACAACAACAGAGAAAAGAGACAAAAUGCAAGGAAAACAAAAUAAUAAUUAUAAAUAACUCAAAAGUUCAAAAAGGAGUAGGAAGAAGCAUAAUCAUGUUUAAUCCCGCCCCCUUUUCAAUAUUUAAUAACACUUUUUCUUCCAGUUUAGGCCCUAUCCAUCAUAAACUCUUCCUUACAAUUUGUUACAUGUUUGCUUUUAUUACCCCAGUAACACCUAAAACCAUAUACAAAUUUACAGCUAUAUAUACUUAUAUAAACAUAUUUGUGUUUAUAUAACACAAAUAUGUUGAUAUAACAACAGGGGACUGUUGUUGUGAUUUGGUGCUAUAUUAUAGCUAUAUGAUGAUGAUAAUAAUAAUAAUAAUAAUAAUAAAACUGAUUUGAAUUCAGUAGUUUAUUGAAAUUAGCCUUCACAUUUUCUUCUUUUAAUAACUGUUGAAGAAGUUGUGUCUAUUUUUUCUUUCUUUGUGGGGGAAGCAGACUCCAGGCCUGACGAAUGGGACGUCGUUGACUCAGAGACCUGCUUCCCUGGCCUGACUCCUCCUUUGUAUAUAGUUUUUUAUAGUUGUGUUAUUUCUGUUUUUAAAUAAAGUUUUUU
ensembl:lncRNA